GAUGGACCCGCGUCUGAUUAGCUAGUUGGUAAGGUAACGGCUUACCAAGGCGACGAUCAGUAGCCGACCUGAGAGGGUGAUCGGCCACAUUGGAACUGAGACACGGUCCAAACUCCUACGGGAGGCAGCAGUGGGGAAUAUUGGGCAAUGGGGGAAACCCUGACCCAGCAACGCCGCGUGAGCGAAGAAGUAUUUCGGUAUGUAAAGCUCUAUCAGCAGGGAAGAAACUGACGGUACCUGACUAAGAAGCACCGGCUAAAUAC
rnacentral:rRNA from 1 species